GAACUCGCUGCUCCAUACACGCUAGAGCAAAACGGUAUAUCAGAAUGAAAGAACCGCACAGUAGUGGAGAUGGCUAGGAGUUUACUAAAAGGAAAGAGCCUUUCGAAUGAUCUUUGGGCUAAAGCUGUUGCAACAGUAGUGUACUUACUAAACAUCCUCCCUCCCACUAAGGCUGUCCGUAAUAUGUAUGACUCCCUAGGAAGCUUGGAAAGGUAAAACACCAGGGGUAAGCCGCCACUUAAAAAUUUUUGGAUCAAUUACAUAUGCCUUGAUUAAUUCUGAGAGUCAUUACAAGCUUGAAAAGAAGUCCAAAAAAUGCAUUUUUAUUGGCUAUUGCGCACAAUCCAAAGCAUCUCAAUUAUAUAACCCAAUUAGUGGCAAAGUUGUUAUUAGCAGAAAUGUGAUAUUUGAUGAAAAUGCAAGUUGGAAAUGGAACGACAAGCAAGAGGAGUCACAAAUUCAGGUUUCUAAUGAUGUGUUAGCAAAUUCAACUCCUCAUUCGACAAUAGUAAGUACAAGCACCUCUCCAACCAGUUCAUCUCCACCAACCUCACCAAGUAGUAGCAGCUAGACUUCUUCCAAAUCCACGAGUGAAAGUCCCCGAAAAUUCAGAUUAUUGGAAGAAAUUUAUGAAACUAACUAAAUAUCAUGCAGAUGGAAACAUAGAAAAGCACAAAGCCCGACUCGUAGCCAAAAGGUAUGCACAGCAGCAAGGCAUAGAUUUUCAAGAAGCUUUCUCUCCUGUUGCCCGAUUUGAAACUUGAAUUGGAAGAAGAAGUCUUUAUUUGCUAGCCUGAAGGUUUCAUGAUCAGUGGCAAUGAGGAUACGGUGUACAAGCUGAAGAAAGCCCUAUAUGGAUUGAAACAAGCACCACGGGCAUUGUUCACCAAGAUUGACUCAUAUUUUUGUCAAACUGGAUUUAAGAGAAGUGACAAUGAGCCCACACUUUAUCUAAAGAAGAAUGGAUCAGGAGCUAUUUCGUGGAGUUCAAAGAAGCAAGUGAUGACGGCUUUAUCAUCUUCUGAAGCGGAGUAUGUGGUUGUGACAUCUUCAGCUUGCAAAGCUUUGUGGCUAAGAAGGCUACUUGAAGAUCUUGAUCAACCUCAAGAAGGAGCUACUAAAAUAUUGUGCGACAAUUGAGCGGCAAUAGCAAUGACAAAGAAUCCAAUAUUCCAUGGAAGAACAAAGCACAUCGACAUGCAUCAUCAUUUUAUUCGAUCGCGAGUAGGCAGCUGAAAGACUAGUGGCGCUGAAGUAAUGUAAUACACAUGAACAAAUUGCAGAUAUUUUUACCAAGUCACUCCCUCAUAACAAGUAUAUGCUUACUUCAGAUCGCUUCUUAGUGUAUGCAACUUUUAAAUCAAGGAGGAGUGUUGAACAUUUCAAUGUAUGAUUCAAAGUGAUCUAGAAUUUAGGAGAUGUGGUUUAUGGACACAUUCUAGCUCUAUGAUCUAGUUAGUGUUCAAAGUGGUAUAUAAUUUAUGAGAAGUGGUCUAUAGACAUGUUCUCCAUGAUCUAAUUAGUGGAGAGGUUUUAGGUAUUAGUUUCUACUUUGUAGUAAGUUGUGAGUUAAAUGGUUAUUAGUGAUGGGAACAUGGAU